rnacentral:rRNA from 1 species
UACGUAGGGACCGAGCGUUGUCCGGAUUCAUUUGGGCGUAAAGAGCUCGUAGGUGGUUUGUCGCGUUGUCCGUGAAAACUCACAACUCAAUUGUGGGCGUGCGGGCGAUACGGGCAGACUGGAGUACUGCAGGGGGAGACUGGAAUUCCUGGUGUAGCGGUGGAAUGCGCAGAUAUCAGGAGGAACACCGGUGGCGAAGGCGGGUCUCUGGGCAGUAACUGACGCUGAGGAGCGAAAGCGUGGGGAGCAACAGG